CCAUCGGCUCGUGUGUCCCCCCUUUCCCCCACCACUCUGGAAGUUUCUCGGCGAAACUAAGGUGCAAGGAGUCAUUCGGUCGUCUCAUUUCGUAUCGAUAACAUGGAUCGCGUUGCGUCAGGUUAUUUAUCGAUAGCAGGGAUAAUAUAGAAGUAACAGAACAUCAAUAUAUGGACGCAACGACUAUUAAUGGUGGAUCCGAUGAAUCUUCAUGGAAAUUUGACAUAUCACAGCUCAGACUUCUUUGUCUUCUUUGGGAAUGCUCCAAAUGUGGCUCAAAAGCCAAGAAUAUUUUUCACAACCUUCAUUUCCACCAUUGGAUUUUCAACGGUUCCUGCCUAAUGUUACACUUUCUAAUGAUAUUUGCUGAGAUAGUGCAGUACCGAUGGCAACGUUUUCCGUUUCUCUGCUUCUA